rnacentral:rRNA from 1 species
AACGAACGCUGGCGGCAUGCCUAACACAUGCAAGUCGAACGAGACCUUCGGGUCUAGUGGCGCACGGGUGCGAAACGCGUGGGAACCUGCCCUUAGGUUCGGAAUAACUCCCCGAAAGGGGUGCUAAUACCGGAUAAUGUCUUCGGACCAAAGAUUUAUCGCCCUUGGAUGGGCCCGCGUUUGAUUAGCUAGUUGGUAGGGUAAAAGCCUACCAAGGCGACGAUCCAUAGCUGGUCUGAGAGGAUGAUCAGCCACACUGGGACUGAGACACGGCCCAGACUCCUACGGGAGGCAGCAGUGGGGAAUAUUGGACAAGGGGCGAAAGCCUGAUCCAGCAAUGCCGCGUGAGUGAUGAAGGCCUUAGGGUUGUAAAGCUCUUUUACCCGGGAUGAUAAUGACAGUACCGGGAGAAUAAGCUCCGGCUAACUCCGUG